AUUGAACGCUGGCGGCAGGCCUAACACAUGCAAGUCGAACGAAGCCUUCGGGCUUAGUGGCGGACGGGUGAGUAACACGUGGGAACGUACCUUUUGGUUCGGAAUAACGCAGAGAAAUUUGCGCUAAUACCGAAUGAGCCCUUCGGGGGAAAGAUUUAUCGCCGAAAGAUCGGCCCGCGUUGGAUUAGGUAGUUGGUGUGGUAAAGGCGCACCAAGCCUACGAUCCAUAGCUGGUCUGAGAGGAUGAUCAGCCACACUGGGACUGAGACACGGCCCAGACUCCUACGGGAGGCAGCAGUGGGGAAUAUUGGACAAUGGGGGAAACCCUGAUCCAGCAAUGCCGCGUGAGUGAAGAAGGCCUUAGGGUUGUAAAGCUCUUUCAAUAGGGAAGAUGAUGACGGUACCUAUAGAAGAAGCCCCGGCUAAAUCCGUGCCAGCCGCCGCUGUAAAAC
rnacentral:rRNA from 1 species